GAUGAACGCUGGCGGCGUGCCUAAUACAUGCAAGUCGAGCGAACAGACGAGGAGCUUGCUCCUCUGACGUUAGCGGCGGACGGGUGAGUAACACGUGGAUAACCUACCUAUAAGACUGGGAUAACUUCGGGAAGCCGGAGCUAAUACCGGAUAAUAUAUUGAACCGCAUGGUUCAAUAGUGAAAGACGGUUUUGCUGUCACUUAUAGAUGGAUCCGCGCCGCAUUAGCUAGUUGGUAAGGUAACGGCUUACCAAGGCGACGAUGCGUAGCCGAUCUGAGAGGGUGAUCGGCCACACUGGAACUGAGACACGGUCCAGACUCCUACGGGAGGCAGCAGUAGGGAAUCUUCCGCAAUGGGCGAAAGCCUGACGGAGCAACGCCGCGUGAGUGAUGAAGGUCUUCGGAUCGUAAAACUCUGUUAUUAGGGAAGAACAAAUGUGUAAGUAACUAUGCACGUCUUGACGGUACCUAAUCAGAAAGCCACGGCUAACUACGUG
rnacentral:rRNA from 1 species